rnacentral:rRNA from 1 species
GGGCCCGCACAAGCGGUGGAGCAUGUGGUUUAAUUCGAAGCAACGCGCAGAACCUUACCAACCCUUGACAUCCUGUGCUACAUCCAGAGAUGAAUUGGUGCCUUCGGGAACUCUGAGACAGGUGCUGCAUGGUUGUCGUCAGCUCGUGCCGUGAGGUGUCAGGUUAAGUCCUAUAACGAGCGCAACCCCUACCGUUAGUUGCCAGCGAUUCAAGUCGGGGACUCUAACGGGACUGCCGGUGCAAACCGUGAGGAAGGUGGGGACGACGUCAAAUCAUCACGGGCCCUUACGUCCUGGGCUACACACGUGCUACAAUGGUCGGUACAGAGGGAAGCUACCCCGUAAGGGGAUGCGGAUCUAUAAAACCGAUCUCAGUUCGGAUCGGGGUCUGCAACUCGACCCCGUGAAGCUGGAAUCGCUAGUAAUCG